AAGUCGUAACAAGGUUUCCGUAGGUGAACCUGCGGAAGGAUCAUUAUGAAGCAUUUAUGCUAUAACUGUGUAUUACCUAUAUUUGUCAUCUGUGAAACAAUGAGCGCAGCGAGUUGAUGAGCGUAUUUGUUGUCGGUGGUUAUUAAUACAUCACCGACAAUGAAUGGUGACGGUCUUAUCAUUACAAUGUCUGAAUAAUAAAAGAGAAUAAAA
rnacentral:misc_RNA from 1 species